UACUAUGGUUGGAUGCAGUAUUCUAUGAAUUUCAAUAGAGCAAGUUGAUUAUAAUGCUGUUCAGGCAAAUCCCAGGAUCUGCAGUAUCAUCAGCUUAGGCAAAAAUUGUGCAAACAAGAUUCACUGUGUCCAGACUACCAACAGUUUUAUUUUUCUCCUGUCUUAUGACUCCCGUUUUUGCCUUUGUUUCCUGGCUCAUUCUACCAACUGACUCCUCAUGUGAGUAAACAAUAUGAGUGCAAAAUAAACU
rnacentral:lncRNA from 1 species